rnacentral:rRNA from 1 species
AUGGAAGCCUACCUAGCGGAGGUCCGCAAGAUGGAGAAGCAGUUCUGGGGGUUGGAGUUGCAGCAUGUGCCCCGUGGCACCAAUCAGGAGGCCGACGACAUCGCCAAACGGGCGUCCAGGCGGUUACCUCAGGAGCCUGGCGUUUUCGAGGAGCGGCUCUUAAAGCCAUCAGCCCUGCCGUCAUUAUCGAACACAGCUCAGCCCCGGGAGGAGCUCCCCCAGCCACCUGCCUCAGGGGCCCCGGCCUGUGGCCCGGCCUCAAGAGCACGCCUGCUCCUGAGGAUGGAACCUCAGGAGGGAUGUUGGAUCGCGGAGCUCCGGAGUUACCUAACGUAA